AAAUAUCAAACACCCAUAGACAUUCAAGCCCUAAAACUCAAGACCCAUCAAAUACCCACAUUAGGGUUGAGCCACAACCCAAGCUAAUGGGUCUAACUACUCAUGAUAAUAGAAGAAAACAAAUAAAUAGNNNNNNNNNNNNNNNNNNNNNNNNNGAAAGUAUUUAUACUAGGCCAAAUGUUUUGGACAAAAAUACCCUUUCAGGGGUACCGCGGACCGCAAGAAAUGGAGUGCGGCCGUAGUAAGGCUUUUGGCUUCAAAUAUCUACUCUCUGAACUUGGCCACCGCGGGCCGCAUAAAAUGCACCAUGGCCACGGUGGCUUCUUCUGCGGUCCGCAUAAAAAGGACCGCGAACCGCAUUGGCAAUAAAUCUCUGAACUCCAUCAUUGCGGACCGCACAAUAUCGAGUGCGACCGCGGUGAGGCCAUUGCGGUCCACACAAAAUGUUUUGCGGCCGCAUUGCUUGAGUUCCCGAAAUAAGCACCUCUCUGAAUCUCCUCACUGCGGACCGCACCAAAUGGAAUGCGGCCGCAGUGGACCUGUUGCACUAUGCUUGGACUUGUUCUUGGUACUUGUGUAUGUUUCACUCCUUUUUGAGCUAGUUUUGACUAGUUGUCACCUUUUUGACUAAACCCUGCAAACAAGUACAACAUGUAAGUCUUUGGGACUAUUUUGUACACAUUUUAAAUCAAAACUCAAGUAAGAAGGAGUGUAAAAUGAACCAUAAUCCCUAGUUAUCAUUUACUUUAUUACUUCCAUUUUCAAAAGUACAUAAGAAUUUGUUGUGCUAAAAAAAUUGCCAUUACUUAUGGCUAACUUGUACAACUUGUUUCUACAGGGCUGGUCGCGCAGUCCCAAGUCCCGAUGAUAAAACUUCAUUUCGAAUUUCGUAGUCCCAAUCGAUGUGGUAGUCAUUGUUACCAUAUUCUCAUAUCAUUCCCCCCAGUAUUCGGAUGCGAAGAAUACAAAUUUGAUCACUGAAAGUUUGCUCCUUUGAAGAUUCCACUAGUGAAUGGUUGGAUAAUCUUUAGUUUGAUAGCAAGCUUCACUUUCCCUUAAGACCUUUGCUAUAGAUCCAAAGAUUAUCUAACAAUCCCCAGAGGCUAGCACUCGUGAACGGUCAGGUAACCAUUGGCUCAAUAGCAAACUUUUACUUCCUGGUAGGAACUUUGCUACCGAGCAGAAGAUUAUCUAACCACCCCGUAGCAUUUUUCUGCUUUCAUGCCUUGUUGUUUAAAGGUCUUACUUCUGCUAGAGAUAUUUCCUUCACAGUAUGCUUUUUGUUUCUGCCUCAUUAAAAACCUUGACCAAAAAACCCUGUUGGGACAAAAACUGGACGAAGAGAAAAAGAGUGCAGUACAUACUUUCAGUAUAGGCAGUGCUCAUCAGCAAUAGUAUCUUUAUAGGUGUGCUACAUUCCAGCUACUCGGCAACUUUAACCCGUCUUGACUUUCCAACUCGUAUAGUCCUUUCCCGGUGAUAGCUGAAACCCGGUAGGAGCCUUCCCAUGUCGGACCUAGUUUUCCUACAUUGAGCUCCAGGUGUUCUGAGUUACUUUCCUUAAAACCAAGUCUCCUUUUUUUUUUAAAAAAAAUAACGGUGGUUGGCUCUUCGAUUGUAAUAUCUUUCCAUUAUCUAUUUUUGGGAUGCCAUCCUUAUAUGCGCCAAGUCCAUGCGUUCUCGAGCAGCUCCAAUUUGACAAAUAAUGCUUCGUUGUUUGUUUUUUUGUCCGCCCAAAAAUAUCUCAAGGUAGGUUCUCCUAUUUCGACCGAGAUCAAGGAUUCUGCUCCAUAUACAGGGGAGAAAGGAUUCUCCCCCGUGCUUGAUUUGGCUAUUGUUCGAUACGCCCAUAGUACUCCUGGUAGCUCUUCGGGCCAUUUGCCUUUGGCUGCUUCUAAUCUCUUUUUGAGAUUUUGGAUAAUCACCUUGUUUGUUGAUUCCGGUUGACUGUUUGCACUCGGAUUUUUAGGUCUUCAAGGUGAUGAUGUGAUCAUUUUGAUUUUUAGGUCUUCAAGGAAUUUUGUGCCCUUUGCGCCUACAAAUUGAGGUCUGUUAUCGCAUGCUAUCUCUUUUUGUAUUCAAAAUCUGCAAAUUAUAUUCCCACAAGAAAUGUACCACUUCAUGCUUGCCGAUUUUCUAGUAACGACCUAUUUUAACCCACUUAAAAAAAAGUCAGUUAAAAUCAAAAGAAAUCUUACCUUACUAGGGGCCGGCAGUGGCAAACCAACUAUAUCUAUUCCCCACUUCAUGAAUAGCCAGGGAGACAAAACCGAGUGUAGUAACUUUGCCGGUUGAUGUAAUAAUGGUGCGUGGCGUUGAUAUUUAUCACAUUUAUGAACAUAAGCCUUAGCGUCUUGUUCCAUUCGGGGCCCGUAUUAUCCUGCCCUAAUUAGCUUUAACACUAAGAAAUCCAUGCCAGAGUGAUUUCUGUAGAUCUUUUCAUGGACUUCUCUCAUGACAUAGUUAGCUUCGGAAGUUCCCAAACAUCAGGCCAAUGGGCCUUGGAAAGAUCUUCUAUACAAUUGACCUCCCUUGAAUAUGUAUCAAGCAACACCCGAGAUGCCUUCGGAUCUUCAGGCAACUUCCGUGCUCGAGAUAGUCAAUGAUCUCAUUUCUCUAGUCCUAGACCAAAUUGGUCACGUUUACUUCGUAAUAGUCUCCUGCGUCCAAUACCGAAUGCAUAAGCUGCAUGACUAUACUAAAGUCUGAUCCCUUCAUUUCCGUGGAAGAUCCCACAUUGGCUAGUGUGUCUGUCUCCACGUUUUCUUCUCUGGGGAUAUGGGUAAUUGACCAUUCCCUGAACCGUACGAGCAGAGCCUGGACUUCUACUACAUAUUAUUGCAUGCAUUCCUCUUUUGACUUUGAAUAUCCCUUAAACCUAAUUCACUAUCAAUUAGGAAUCAUAUUUGAUUUCUAUAACCUCGGAGUCCAGUCCCCGGGCCAUCUCGGGUCCUGCAAUCAGAACUUCAUACCUUGCUUCAUUAUUAAUAAGGCGAAUAGUUCUUAUGGUUUGCCUUAGGGCAUCCCACGAAAGCAUAAUUCGUACUACGUCGAGCCCAAACCCUUUCACAUUGGAAGCUCCAUCUGUGAACAAAGUCCAAACUCCUGAUGUUAAUUUUGACACCAUCAUUGCUUCUUUGGUAGCCAAAGGUAACAGUCCCAGACUGAAAUCAGCCACAAAGUCAGCCAAAACUUGUGAUUUAAUCGCAGUCCUAGGUUUAUACUCUAUGUCAAAUUCACUCAUUUCAACUUCCCACUUAGCAUACCUGAAAGUUCAGGUUUAUGAAGGAUAUUCCGCAGGGGAAGGUGGUCACCACGGCUAUUAGAUGACAUUGGAAUUAAGGCUUAAGCUUUCGAGCGGUGACUACAAGAGCUAAGGCAAAUUUUUCCAGAUGUGGGUAGCGCGUUUCUGCUCCCGUUAAAAUUUUACUAACAUAAUAGAUAAGAGAUUUCAUACCUUCAUCCUCACGGACUUAAAUGGCAUUUAGUGCUACCUCUAAAACUGCUAAGUAAAUUAGCAGCAUUUGCCUUCCUCCAGUUUUGACAGUAAUGGAGGACUUAAUAGAUAACUUUUCAAAUCCUUCAGAUCCUUCCAGUAUUCCGAAGUCUAUUCGAAGUCGUUCUUCUUUUUGAGGAGUGAAAUAAAGUGAUGACGAUUUUCUGAAGAUCGGGAAAUGAACCUGCUUAAAGCGCCUAGUCUUUUAGCUGGAUUAAAUUCGAUCCCUCUUUGGGACACCAGGAAUCCCAAGAACUUAUCGGAGCUGAAUCAGAAUGCACGCUUCUCGGGGUUAAGCUUCACGUUGUUCUGUAGGAUGUCAAAGGUUUCUUGCAGGUGUUUAAGAUGAUCACCUAAGUUCAAAGACUUAACCAGUAUAUCAUCUAUGUAAACUUCGAAGGUUUUACCUAUUUAAUUUUCAAACAUUUUGUUUACGAGCCACUGAUAAGUUGCUCCAGUAUUUUUUUAUCCGGAAAGGCAUCACAUUAUAGCAAUAUGUGCUGAAGUUUGUUAUGAACAAAGUUCUUUUCUGAUCCUAUGGGUUCAUCUUGAUUUGUUUGUACCCGGAGUAAGCAUCAAGGAAACUCAUUAACUUGUGCCCGUCCGUCGUAUCAAUCAUUUGAUCAAUGUUUGGCAAUGGAAACGAGUCUUUUGGACAUGCCUUAUUUAGAUCCUUAUAGUCUACGCACAUGCGAAAUUUAUUCUUCUUCUUUGGAAAUACUACUAUGUUAGCUAGUCAGUCAGGAUACUUUACCUUUCGGAUUGAACUGAUAUAAAGCAAAUGCAUUACCUCUUCUUUGACGAAUUUGUUUCUGACCUUAGCAAUAGGGCUUGUUUUCUGCCUCAUCGGACUGAUGUUAGGAUCAAGGCUUAGUUUGUGAACAUCCAUUUCUGGUGGGAUACCUGUCAUAUCCGCCUGUGACCACACAAAAUAAUUAAUGUUAAAUUUAAGAAAUUCUAUGAAUCCUGACAUGAGUUCUGGGUUUAAACCUGUCCCCAAAUGGAACUUCCUCUCCAAGAACUUUUUGAACAACGCGACCAUUUCUGGCGGGAUACCUGUCACAUCCGCAUGCGACCACACAAAAUAAUUAAUGUUAAAUUUAAGAAAUUCUAUGAAUCCUGACAUGAGUUCUGGGUUUAAACCUGUCCCCAAAUGGAACUUCCUCUCCAAGAACUUUUUGAACAACGCGACUUGCUCAAGUUCUUCUGUUGUGGACUUUGUUGCGUCCGUUUCUUCUGGUACCUAGAAAUAUCUUGGUAUAUGACAGGAUUCUAACAAAUCCUCCCCCUAGUUGACUUCGUUCGGUUUGGGAGCAGGCGUCGGUUCCUGUAAUUGCUAUGUUGCAUGCUCAUUCCUUUUACUACUAAAUACUGAGAUUGCGUUCAUCUCCCUUGCCGCCGGUUGGUUUCUUCUUAUUUGUUUAAUUCCUUCAGGAGAUGGGAACUUCAGUAAUUGAUGAUAGGUUGAUGGCACAACCUUCAUCUCGUGCAACCAUGGUCUCCUCAAGAUAAUAUUGUAGCCCAUAUCCUUGUCUACUACCUCAAAAAAGUUCAUCUUUAUUACCCUCUCGGCAUUUAUGGGCAAUAGGAUCUCUCCUCGGGUUGUCACGCUUGCCAAAUUGAACCCGACGAGGAUUUUUGUGACCGAAAUGAAGCUUUCACUUAUCUUGGCUUGCUCCAGCACUCUCCAUUGGAUAAUAUUGGCCGAACUUCCUAGGUAUACCACAAUAGGUUUAAUUGGAAAAUCUAAGACAUUAGGAGAGAUUACCAAGGCAUUGUUGUGUGACAGCAGUAGACCAUCUACGUCUUCCUCCAUUAAAGUAAUGUCAUCCUUAGCGACUUCCCGGUCUCUUACUGUGGGUUACUAAUAUCUUUCUCAUUUUUGCCGCCGAAAAUAUCGCACUAUUAAUCUCGUUCCCUUUGAAAAUCAUGUUGAUCGUCGAACGAAGAGGUUCUUCUCCUACUUUCCAGGGUUCCUCAUUUUCACAGUUGCGUUCAUAGUUAUUUUUAGCCCGGUCGCUUAAGAAUUCUCUGAGAUAACCAUUUUUCGGCGACAAUCUCACGCAAAUGUUGGCAGUCCCCUGUCCGCUGGCUAUUGGUCCCAUGGUAUUCUCACCACAAAUUUAAAAUCCCUCUAACUAGGAUCAGAUCUCAUUAGCUUCAGGAACCGUGCUUCCUUAAUGUUCCUCAUAGCCGACACUAGCUCCAUUACGUGGACGUUGAAGUUCUAUUCGGAUAGCCUGGGGUAGGAGGAAUAUCGGGAACCCGAUAUCUCCUUAUCCUGCAAUGAUUUGUUAUUCCGGCCGUGAUCAGCUCUCCUAUCGAUGGUGAAUCUAUCUGUCGAUCGGAAACCUCUAUCACAUCCUUCGGUCCUUUCAUAAGGCAAAAAUCGACCUCCUGAAGAUCGUCGAUUUGUGUCAAAAUCAUUCUUUGAUUUCUUCUUAUUCUUCUCCCAGUCCCGACCCUUGGUUGAUGCUGGGAACCGAGCUGAUCAUCCUUAAUUCUUAUCUUCGACUCGUAUCAAUUAUGAAUAUCUGCCCAUGUUGUUACCUGGAACCCGAGUAGACUUUCUUCCAAUUUCUAGGAACCAUCGAAACUUCUCGGAUUCAGCCCUUUAGUAAAUGCUUCAGCUGCCCAUUCAUCCGGUACGGCCGGCAACAACAUCCUCUAUUUCUGGAAUCUGGUCAGGAAAUCCCGCAACAAUUCAAAAUCUCCUCGCACAAUCCUGUACCUUUCUAGCCCCGGCAUAGGCCUUGAUAAAAGAAUCCGUGAACAUCUCAAAAGAAUAUUGACUGCUCUAGUAAAAGUGAAUACCAUGUCAGGGGCCCCUUCGUGAGGGUCUCCCCGACUUUCUUAAGCAAGAUCGACUCAAUAUCGUGCGGGGCUAAAUCGUUCCCUUUCACCACCAUUGUAAAGGUGGUGAUAUGCUCUUGAGGAUCUGAAGUCCCAUCAUACUUCGGCAUGUGUGGCAUCUUGAACUACUUCGGGAUCAAUUCUGGUGUCGCGCUUGGUUUGAAUGGCAACUAGGUAUAUUUCUUUGAGUCUGGUCCUUUCAAUACUGGUGGCACACCCAGAAUUUGAUCCAUUGAUGUGUUAAUUUCUCUCAUAAACUACAUGAGUUUGAUUUUAAAGGGAUCAUUCUCAUUGUUAUUACUGGAGUUACUACCGUUCCUCACAACCCUGCCGAAACCGACUUCGCCCCUUAGGGUAUUGUUAUCGACCCUCUACGUUUUUUGGUUUGCGGGAGCACUGGGAGGAACUGGACCUUGUCCAUUCUCGUUGUUGGAAGCACCUGACAAUGCCUGCCUCAACUCCAUCAUGACCUGAUCCUGUCGUGAGAGGUAGCCCAUAAUGGCUUUUUGUUGCUCCCUUAGGAUCCUUACUGUUUUAGUGACAUGCUCAUCUUCAGCAUCAUCAGGAGUUGCCUCUCGAACAUGUCAUGGAUAUUUCCUGCCAUGGACCAAUGUGGCCUCAUCCCCCUCAUUGCGGGUAUCACUAAUCGAAUCUUCAUGUUGAGGCUGAUUUCCUUGGGCCUCUACUUUGUGUGCGAUGCUGACAUCGUUAUCUGCCAUUUUUUAUGAUUUUUGCGAAGAACAAAGAAUAAAACAGGUUAGUAAUACAUGCAAGGAUCAACUCAAUUACACAACUAUCUAAGCCCCACGAUGGGCGCCAAGAUGUUUAACCGUACAACGGUAUAAUUGAAUUUAUAAGUAGUUUAUAGACAAGUGAAUCCAUUUGAUCCUAGAAUGAUAAAUAAAUUAAAUAAGAAUGUAAGACUUAGUGUUGAAAUUGAGAUAAGACAACAGAAAUCAUGGUUCCGGGAGCAGAGCAUCUGGAGGCAGUAGUAACGAUAUUAAUAAGCAAAAAGAUAAAGUAUUAUUGAGCUUUGAACAGUAUAUGGCAUAAGCUUGUCUGAAUAUAUUUUCCCUUACAAUAACUGUUGAGCUUACUAUUUAUAGUUGUUCCUAGGGAACAAGGUCCUAGGAUCAAGCCCCUCUUAAAUAACAAUUAUGGGAGCCAUUGAAGAAUGUGUAAUGGUAGGCAAUGAAUAUCAUAUUCUCUGUAACGGACUACGUAUUUUAUGCUAUAAAAUAUUAUUCUCCAUCAAGUGCUACCGGGUGGUAGACAUGUAUUUUAUCUUUAUGAACAAUUUUCCCUUCAGGAACUGUCACACCCCUUUUUUUUUUACAACAAACCCAUUAAACCUCUUAAAAAUAAUAAAAAGAUUUUGUAAAACUUGAAAAGGGUUUUCCAACUAGAACGUGACAAAAAUUGUAUUCAAAAGGAAAAUAACUCAGAGUCGCCACCUGACUUUGAUUUCGGUGUGCUAGGUCACCAUUUCUUUUUCUUUUUUAAAACGAUUUUUCCUUUUUAAAACAUUUCAGACUCUAAAACCAAGUCCGCACCAGAGAUUCGGGUAAGGGGUUCAUUUAACUCGGGGAGAAGGUGUUAGACAUUCCCCGAGUCCCGUAACUAGUACGGUGGCAUACAUGAUCAAGUUGGAUUUUAAGAUAUUCGAAUUGAGGUAAUAACACACAAAAGAAAAUAAACAAUCAAAAGAGGCUCGAGGUCUUCCCCACCUAAAUGAAAGAAAAUUAAAAGAAGAAAGAUUAAAUUUCUAAUUAUCCUACGCUAUUUCUUCUAAGAUGUUCGCCACGUCCUCCAAUUACAUUCACUUCGGGGAAUACCCCUGAAAUAAAAUAUAUACAAAUCCCUUGGGGCAUACCCUGGAUACAUUUAACUAAGGAACGACCUCUCGCCUCAAAACUAAUAAAAUUCCUAAAGUUUGCCUACCCAGGUGAUGACGACCUAGCAUGCUCCUAGCGGGUAAAUUAAUAAACGUAUAGUAUUCAAAUCUUAGUUCUGUUUCUUUUUAAUUCCAACACCACGUCCCAAAUCCAUUUUACUAAUCUUGGCCAAAAAUUCUUUUUCAAGGUUUGUCAGUCCACGACUCAUUUUAAUUGGAAGCUUUCGAUGCACUAUAUCGUUAAUCUUCCUCUUAAUUAGGCUUACUAAUAGUCUAAUGAUUCAGCAGUAGCCCUUAAAACUAAACAAAGUGCACUUGGAAACAAUAAGAAUCCCAACGAAACAAAUGUACAUGUAAUCUCAAACACAAAUGCAUCAGAUGACUUCAAUUCAUCAAAAUAAUGGUAAAAGCACGCAUAAUUGAAGAGAAGAGUGAGAAAUAUACCUCAAUAUAACUGGAAAUUAAUUAUAUCACUGCUUUGAACUCAAAUAUAACGAAUCGCGUACGGAAACUCGAACUCGACCGGAGAACGCUGAAGCUCAAAGAGCUGACCGGAAUUGAAAUUUGAUGCGUUUUCGGGGUUACGACGAGGCUGAUUUGAAUUGGAUUUUUAUACUAUUUUGAAGUUGUUUUCAGCUGAUCCUUAUGGUGAGAAGGACAUUGGUUUAUCGUUCCCCUUAGCUCUGUCCUCGUCGUCUCCGUUCUCUCAUUUAUAAGGAUCACUUCCUUAUCGCUUGACAAUUCCAGAAGCUAAGGCCAAAAAAUAUGAUAAAGAGAGAAAUGGAGGAAUACAUUUGGGAUUGUUAAAAAAAUUGAAUGAAAGGGAAAAGAAGCCUGUAAUGGAUUAUUGAGAAAAAAAGAUAGGAGGAAAGCAAACAAAUACAAAAACGAAAUCCAUUGAAAAUGGAAGGUGGAGUAACGGCUCAAAUUUUUUACUUGUUAGGAAAUGGAAAUCAAGAGCUUCAUAUGUGAGGUUCUGAUGGAAGUUGGAGGUAGAGAUGGCUGGCGGAUGUUGAUGGGCGUUGCUGGGGUGAAGGAGAUGGAGGAGGUGCGGUGGUGUCGAAGAAUUGGGGUUUCGGCUGUCCUCUUGUUCAGGAGUUUAAGGUUAGUCAAAGAAGAAGAUUUUAAGCGUUACGGAAGGGUUAGUGGGUAUGGGGUAUUGGGCUUCUUAUUUGGGUCUUAAAAUUGGGCU
rnacentral:lncRNA from 1 species